GCCUCCUUAUUUCAGUGGAAGAAUUUUUCCCUUCUAAGGAAACGGUCGCGGGUUCGAGUCCCGCAGGAGGUU
rnacentral:tRNA from 1 species